rnacentral:rRNA from 1 species
UACCCUGAACGGUGGAUCACUUGGCUCGUGGAUCGAUGAAGAACGCAGCUAAUUGCGCGUCAACUUGUGAACUGCAGGACACAUGAACAUCGACAUUUCGAACGCACAUUGCGGUCCACGGAUCUCGUUCCCGGACCACGCCUGGCUGAGGGUCG